rnacentral:lncRNA from 1 species
UAAAAGUCCUGUCAAGAUUUAUUUUUUUCACUCUGGGUCAUCAUGCUGCUCGAUAUUAACAGUUAAACUCCUCACUUUUUUCGCGAAUGCUAAACAAGUUGUUUACAAGAAGGAGAGAAUGUGAACUUUUAAUCAGUGAUCAGAAGCGUCUUCCUCGAAUUUCCAACUUGUUUACGCCGUAGCGCCAGCGGAGCUGCUUUCGAGGAGGAAGGUAUUUCCCCUCUGAUCUCACCCCCGUUGACUCGCCUGGGCUGCAUCACUGGAUCAUCUGGAUGUGUGUGUGCUGACGACGCGGUGUGUCCAUGCAGCCAGCCUCUGAGCGGAUAAAUGCCUAACUGUGUCGCUUUACCGUCGCCAAAAAGGACUCCAUGUCUUUCUUGGUCCAGCCCGUGGGCGUAGAGGAGCACUAUGAGGACAGCAGCCACCAGUUCCUGGUCAGUAGCCAAGCCACAGCCAAGCCACUGUCUAGGGGUUCAGCUUUGGGAGGGAGGUAUGGUGGGUG